GCUGAUUCUCUUUUCAGACUCAGCCCACCUGCACCCAGGUGAAAUAAACAGCUUUAUUGCUCACACAAAGCCUGUUUGGUGGUCUCUUCACGGGGACACGCAUGAAAUUUGGUGCUGUGAUUCAGACUGGGGGACCUCCCUUGGGAGAUCAAUCCCCUGUCCUCCUGCUCUUUGCUCCGUGAGAAAGAUCCACCUACAACCUCUGGUCCUCAGACCAACCAGCCGAAGGAACAUCUCACCAAUUUUAAAUCUGCCAACAGGUGGUGAAGCUGAGGCAUGCGCCUAGAUCUCUACCUGCUAAUUCUGCAUAUUUCCAUUUUACCACUAUGCCAAGCUGUCAUGCAAACGUCAUGAAGUAGGACCUAAGCAGAGAAGAUUCAAGGCUGCAGAGAACUAGUGUUGCCUUAUGGUUUUCUCCCUGGGGAGUGCUUUGCAUAUGAAGUCAGAAAACAAAGGGGGGCUCUGAAAACUCCUCCAUCCUUGACAAGAUAACACAGAGAAAGGACCAAAAAGGACCAGAGGGAAGAGGAGGUAAAAGGGAAUGAGGCAUGUGACACUGGCUAAAUAAAUCAUUCUCAUUGAAAUUCCAUGUCAUCAUAAGGUUAAUGAAGGUGGGAAUGCUCAUCCCUACCAUUUAUGAUUCUAGCUUUGCUCCUAUGUAAAAUUAAGGUACAGCAGAAGUUUGAGAACCUAUUCAGACAAACUAGUUUUAAAAGAGUAUUCUUUACUUACUAAUUCAGUACACGCCUACUGAGUACUGUUGUGCUGCCAUCACUGGGCCAAGAACUGAGGAUACAAAAAUCAGAAAGAUGUGUUUUUUGCCUUCUAAAACAUAUGGUCUCAGGAGUUAGGACGCUAAAUGGAAAACUAAAUUACAUCUUAAUAGGAGCAAUGGAAUCAUCAGGUGUAUAACCUAGUAGCAGGAAGCUCAAUGGAAAUCCCAGAUGUCCUUACAAAGGGCCACAACAUGCUUAUGGGAGUGUCUGGUAA
rnacentral:lncRNA from 1 species